AGUGAACGCUGGCGGUAGGCCUAACACAUGCAAGUCGAACGGCAGCACAGUAAGAGCUUGCUCUUACGGGUGGCGAGUGGCGGACGGGGGAGGAAUACAUCGGAAUGUACUUUUUCGUGGGGGAUAACGUAGGGAAACUUACGCUAAUACCGCUUACGACCUACGGGUGAAAGCAGGAGAUCUUCGGACCUUGCGCGAUUGAAUGAGCCGAUGUCGGGUUAGCUAGUUGACGGGGUAAAGGCCCACCAAGGCAACGAUCCGUAGCUGGUCUGAGAGGAUGAUCAGCCACACCGGAACUGAGACGCGGCACAGACUCCUACGGGAGGCGGCAGUGGGGAAUAGUGGACUAUGGGCGCAAGCCUGAUCCAGCCAUACCGCGUGGGUGAAGAAGGCCUUCGGGUUGUAAAGGCAUUUUGUUGGGGAAGAAAAGCAGCAGGUUAAUACCCCGCUGUGCUGACGGUACCCAAAGAAUAAGCACCGGCUAACUUCGUG
rnacentral:rRNA from 1 species